AACAAAUCUACAGUCUAGAGAUAUGCCGCCAUAUGGGGAGAACUGCUUGGUGCCAGGGAAAAGAUAGAAAGCUCAAGUGCGGGAGUCUAACACAGAAGACACCUUAGUCAAAUAGGUUUGUGAUGCUGUUACAGAAGCCUUCUCCAAAGGUUACAGAAGUUCUGACCCAGAUCCCCAAAUAGUGGCACUGCAGCCUCUUUCUGUGGACCCACCACCCAUAAAGGGCAGCAGGUAGUAGAUACAAUUUAGAGAAGAAUCUUGGGCACGGAGGGGCCAAAAACAGCUUCAGCAAGUAGGAAGAGAAGCAGAGCACAUGGGAAAGCGAGCAGAGGUCACAGAAAAACAGAAGCUGGCACAAGAUCCCAACCUGCAGCUGAAUACAUGUGGGUGGAACCUGGCAACCAUGCAUCUCUGUCGUCUUUAAUGGGAGUCCACACCGCUUUAAGAAUGGAUCAGAUGUCAACAUCAGCCACAGACUGUCAAUUGUAACACUUCUAGGUAGGGGUUAUAUAUCUCUUUGUGUGUGAACAGUACUUAACACAUUGUGGAUACUAUCAUAAUGCUAUGAACGGUGUGCCUCAUUUUGUAUGCAACAUGUAGGUAGUUACCACAUCAAGCAUCCCAAGCAGCAUAUUGCUGGAAGUGCCACAUAACAGGUUAACUCUUGAAAGCAGAAGAAAAGGAGUGGGCUCGAAGGAUAUCUUGUGUUUUCCAAGCCAAGUGCUGUUCUCUUGAACCUCUUGCAAGUGGAAGACCUCUGCUAAAGGGUAUGGCUAUGAGGAUUUUUUGUUGUUGUUAAUUUUUCUUCAAUUAAAGAUAAGUACAAUGCUUUAAAAAUCCAACUGUACUUCUCAAAAGCAGUAAUAAACCACAUAAUAGACCACCCA
rnacentral:lncRNA from 1 species